CGUACUCACUGCGGAGGGAUCAUUACACAAAUAUGAAGGCGGGCUGGAACCUCUCGGGGUUACAGCCUUGCUGAAUUAUUCACCCUUGUCUUUUGCGUACUUCUUGUUUCCUUCCUGGGUUCGCCCACCACUAGGACAAUCAUAAACCUUUUGUAAUUGCAAUCAGCGUCAGUAACAAAUUAAUAAUUACAACUUUCAACAACGGAUCUCUUGGUUCUGGCAUCGAUGAAGAACGCAGCGAAAUGCGAUAAGUAGUGUGAAUUGCAGAAUUCAGUGAAUCAUCGAAUCUUUGAACGCACAUUGCGCCCUUUGGUAUUCCAAAGGGCAUGCCUGUUGCUCCGUCAUUUGUACCCUCAAGCUUUGCUUGGUGUUGGGCGUCUUGUCUCUAGCUUUGCUGGAGACUCGCCUUAAAGUAAUUGGCAGCCGGCCUACUGGUUUCGGAGCGCAGCACAAGUCGCACUCUCUAUCAGCAAAAUCCUAGCAUCCAUUAAGCCUUUUUUUCAACUUUUGACCUCCCUAUCAGGUAGGGAUACCCGCUGAACUUAAGCAUAUCAAUAAGCGGAGGAA
rnacentral:rRNA from 1 species